rnacentral:lncRNA from 1 species
CACACACUCUGGGUUAAUCUGAAUUAGCAGCUUUCUCCAGACAUGAGUUUUUUUCUGCUGCAGCAGGAGGAUGGGCUGUUUUUACCCAUGUGGCUGGAUCCAGAAGGGAAUUUCUGUCCACAGGAGGGGUUUGGAGCAGAGAUGCAGCAGAGAGAUUCCCCCAGCAGAGCUGAACACCCCAAAAAGGGGCUCUGUGAGGCUUUGUCUUCCUUGUGCUCCUGGACACCCCCCAGCAUGACUUUAUCUUUUGGCCUAAACAUGUGUGCAGCUGUUUCACUGCCUGCUUUGGGCCUGGAACAAACUUGCCUGAUAGUGUCUCACUUUGGCUUUCCCAAACCUGUUUGUUGGAAGUGAUCUUUUACAUCACCUUGUGCUGCCAACCUCAUCUGCAGCCAGGAAAAUUAAUGACCCCAGCUAGCCCCAUGUUUUUCUCUAGAGAAAGGGCACAGGUGAGAAGGGAAGGUGCCAGCAAACACCCAAAAUUGGGCAUCCUGGGAGAUGUCUGGAGAUGUGUCCCCUUUUCUCACACGUGCAGGCAGUGCCCUCUAGUGCUGCUGCCUUUUGGACAAAGUUGGGAAUGUUAAAUAACGAGAAAAACUGAGAGCAAAGCUCUGGCCUGAGCUGACAGCACAGGCAGAUGGACAUAAAUCCCUAAGCUCUGCCAGCAUCCAGGGCAUGAGGUGGCUGUGGUUGCCCUUCUCCCUGCAGGAGCAGCAUUGGUGGUGGCCGUGGUGGCCAGUGGAGAGCUGGGACACACAGGAAAGCCCAUUAGGCACUGGGAUUUCCCCCUGGAAUCACAGGAAGAACACAGAUAAUGCGUGGUGGGUCUGCAGAGAUGUCCUCUCCUGGUGGUGCCUCAUGUCCUCAGUCUGGUGGCAAGGACUCCAAACUUGUGGCACAUUCCUGCUGGGAAGCUCCUUCACAGCCUGUCACACUCUGCUGCCACCAGAGCACCACGUUUCAACCAACAGGUUUCUUCCCACCACUGGGCUGUCAUUCUUGAUGAAAGCAACUUGAAUUUAAUUGCAAGGCUACGUUGGACUCCUGCAGAAGCACACUGUAGUCUCAUUUUCACAUUAG